rnacentral:rRNA from 1 species
UACGUAGGGUGCGAGCGUUGUCCGGAAUUACUGGGCGUAAAGAGCUCGUAGGUGGUUUGUCGCGUUGUUCGUGAAAACUCACAGCUUAACUGUGGGCGUGCGGGCGAUACGGGCAGACUGGAGUACUGCAGGGGAGACUGGAAUUCCUGGUGUAGCGGUGGAAUGCGCAGAUAUCAGGAAGGAACACCCGGUGGCGAAGGCGG